rnacentral:rRNA from 1 species
UACGAAGGGGGCGAGCGUUGUUCGGAUUUACUGGGCGUAAAGAGCUCGUAGGCGGCUUGUCGCGUCGGAUGUGAAAGCCCGGGGCUUAACUCCGGGUCUGCAUUCGAUACGGGCAGGCUAGAGUUCGGUAGGGGAGAUCGGAAUUCCAGGUGUAGCGGUGAAAUGCGUAGAUAUCUGGAGGAACACCGGUGGCGAAGGCGGCAUCCUGGACCAACACUGACGCUGAGUGAGCGAAAGCCAGGGGAGCAAACGGG